AUUGAACGCUGGCGGCAGGCCUAACACAUGCAAGUCGAGCGGAUGAAGGGAGCUUGCUCCUGGAUUCAGCGGCGGACGGGUGAGUAAUGCCUAGGAAUCUGCCUGGUAGUGGGGGACAACGUUUCGAAAGGAACGCUAAUACCGCAUACGUCCUACGGGAGAAAGCAGGGGACCUUCGGGCCUUGCGCUAUCAGAUGAGCCUAGGUCGGAUUAGCUAGUUGGUGAGGUAAAGGCUCACCAAGGCGACGAUCCGUAACCGGUCUGAGAGGAUGAUCAGUCACACUGGAACUGAGACACGGUCCAGACUCCUACGGGAGGCAGCAGUGGGGAAUAUUGGACAAUGGGCGAAAGCCUGAUCCAGCCAUGCCGCGUGUGUGAAGAAGGUCUUCGGAUUGUAAAGCACUUUAAGUUGGGAGGAAGGGUUGUAGAUUAAUACUCUGCAAUUUUGACGUUACCGACAGAAUAAGCACCGGCUAACUCUGUGCCAGCAGCCGCGGUAA
rnacentral:rRNA from 1 species